rnacentral:lncRNA from 1 species
AAAAAAAAAAAAAAAAAACCCACUCCCUCACUCAUUUGGCUUGCCCACCAAAAUCGCUGUCGACAACUAGCUUGAAAAUGUCAACCGUCGACAAAGACCACAAAAAAUACAAACGUAAUCUGUCAUUCAAGCACUCAAUUGAUUGUGUGGUUGGAAGAUAAGGAUUCGGCUUGGGUAGCAGCCGAGGUAAUAGAUUUUUUCGGUAAACAAGUUCAACUCUUAAUAGUCUUCGGUAGAAAGGUGAUUUCUUUUCAAUUUUUAUUGUUUUGAUUUUUGUGAAUUUGCCAAAAAAAUAAAUAAAUAAUAAUAAUAAUAAAUAAAUAAAUAAUUAGGUUGAUUUUGGUUUUAAUUUGAAUUUUUGGAAUAGGUGUUGGCGGUGUCGGAUAAAUUGCAUUUGUAGGAUACGGAGGCAGACCAUGGAGAAGUGGAUGACAUGACCAAAGUAACUUCCUCGAAUGAGCUGGGUGUUGUUAAUCUGCAAAGAACAUAUACUCUCAAUGAAAUUUAUGUGAGCUCCUUAAGAAUUAUGUUCAUUAUUUAAAUUUGGAAGUGUAGUUGAAUUGAUUACAUUAAUUAGCUUUUGCAUCUAUAUGUUUGAAAGUAAGCUAAGCUUGUCAGAAUGAAAAAACAAAUCAGUCAUUAAAUUUGUACAUUCUGCUAAAUUCAGUUAAAUGUUUUCUUAAUGAGAUACGGAAAGUUUAAUUGCAUUAUUACAAGGUUUGAUAGGAUCUCUAGGUAGGUUAAUAUUGACUAAAACUUUAGAUUUCGAUGUAGCAAGAUUAACUCACAUUGUAGGUUAAGAGCUAUUUGGAGGAUGCUACGGCCCCUACAUGAUCUUGUAAGUAACUUUCAAUGGUGGUGUGAGGUUUUAUCUAAUAAAAAGGGAAAAUUGCCACCAGAAAUGAAGAAUUUCAUGAAUUUUGAUUCAAUUCUGAUUCUACAGUGAGAGAUGAAGGUUUGCUGUAUAUUGAAAAUAGAGAGCUGAAAAGAACUUUAGGAUCUUGUCACAAAAUCAUGGAGUAAAGGAGAAAUAGGUAACACAUUUGAUCGGCAGUUCGUGAGGUUAUAAUUAGAAACAAUUGAGAAGGAAAAUGAACUUUUGUGGUUACUAAAUAUAAAUGUUCUAGAGCUUUAGGAUUUUUUCAAUGUAUAUUAACACAUUGGAGAAGAAGUAAAUGUUGUGUGAAUAGUGUCCUGUGGAAGUUGGAAAAGGAAAAUAUAUGAGGAUUCUUUGUUGUGUCAUAACCAAAUUGCAUGUCUUGAUUAUGAGCUACUUAACAUGUAUGAUCCUCCCAUGCAUUGCAAUUGCAUCCCUCUGUGUACAUCUAUUUACACAUAAGGAUUUCACGAUACAAAUCAUGGCGACACACAAUUUUCUUGAUAGGUAUCUCAAAAAUAGAUUUUUCUUGAAGUUAUAGACAUUUAAGUCAUCACUUUGCGACCGUUCCUAGUUAACAAAUAAUAAAAGAUCAAAUUUUAAAAUUUAAGCUAGUAGUAAUAUUAUAGGUCAUACAACAUGGUUUAAAGGUUUUUUGGUUAACACUGGCAAUCUUAUAUAAGUCAUGAUGAUUUGUCUUUUGUUUGUAUUGCUCACUCUUCUUUCAUGUCAAUUAUGUAUGUUUAGGGGAUCGAUUUUUGACUUCGUAAUUUGAAUUUCAAGUUACGAUGAUCGUCUGGAGACAUUGAUUAUCCUUUUACUUCAAAAAUUCCGUUUGGAUCGGGGCAUGUGAGGAUCACACUUUCUGGAAAAAUUGUUAUUUACUUUGUUUCGUUUUAAAUUUGAAUUAUCCAUCCUUGGGUUGGCAACACUGUUUCAUGUUUCCUUACUAGCUGCUUUUGUUUGACGAUGGUAUUUUGCUUGCAACUUGUGUUACUACAUUCAUAACAGUUUCCUUUCGUAUCUUCUUUAUCAGCUCAUAGCAUUCAAUACUCGUUCAAUAUCUACCUGACAUAUAAAGCUUCCCGUUUGAGGAAGUUUGGAGUGUCAUAAAUAUAUGUAGACAUGAAUGAUUUAUUUGGACACAUCUCUGAUUUCAUCGUCAUGACCUGUUAAAUUUAUAUUGUCUGGUAUGUCGUACCUAAAUUUUACAUCAAGCUUAUUCAAAUUAAGCAUUCGAGGGUACAAUGAUUUGUUUAUUUUAUUCGGUUGGAAAGGAACACUAGCAUGAUUUUUUUUCACAAACAGUUAAUAAGUAAUUCUUGUGACGGCAUCAUUUACUCAUUCACAAACUCUUUUUGUUACUAGAAUGAUUUUUUGCCAUUCCACCGCUGAUUAAUUCGUUGUUUCACCGCAGUAAUUCUAGGAAUUCUUCAUUUGCCAAAUUUGCAAUAUUGUGUAUGAAACAAUAUCUACAAACUCUCCCGUACCUCUCACUCCAUCAUCAUUUUAGUGUUGUAGAGGUUAAAAGUAGAUUUUUCGACAUUAUAGUUCAGAAAUGACAACUUUAGUGAAUUGUCGUUCCCACAGUAAUUCUCGACAGAUGGAAUGAUUCCCGACAGCUGAGUUCAGUCUUCUAUGAAGAUGAACUAUCAUUCUCGACAAAUGAAGGACCAAUAGUUCAAGUCAAAUUUUUUCAACACGCAACAGUUCCACAUGUCGAACCGUGGUUCAUCCAAACAUCACAUGUGUUUCGCAUUAACAUGUAUGAAAUAAUAUGUUAUGACGAUUUUUUGAUUUGUUAUUGUACCUUGGUUUACAUGUCCAUCUCAACGUUACACGUAUGCUUGACAUCAGCAUGUAUGAAAUAUUAAGACAGAUUCUGUUAACGAAUUGACUAUCAUGAUAACAUUCAUUUUUUUGGUGGCUAAUUUAUGGCAUUUGCCCAUGUUUCAGCAAAAUGAGAAACAUGAGCUCCCGAAAACGAGGCGUGUUGUUGCUGACAUUUACAAAAAGGGUGGUAGCUGCAUGCAUUCAAGUUCCUUUGUCACUAAAAGAUAACAUUUACAAAGAUGAAAUGGAGAUUGUAUGGAAGGGUAGAUAUAUGAUUGGGGCUAGGCAUGCAAUGUUGUUCACGCGAAGCGUUAUUGUGCAAUAUUUCAAUUAUUCAUGUCGAAUUCGUGUCGUUGUGAUACUUGGGAAAUGUGUAAGACUAUAAACAACAUUUUUUACUAGACUUGAAUGUAAAUCUAGGGCCCAUGGAUGCCCUUGACAAAUAUUUUACAUCUUGUCUGUGGGAAGAUGUAGGCAAUGUUAUCCAUACUGUUCAAGCUAAACAAUCUUUUUGUAGUUCGAAUGUUGUAAUGUACUAAAUCAACAUAGUUACGUAUGUUCGAAAUCCAUUGUUGUAGCAUGGUCACAUGCAAGUCAUAGAUGUUUCACUUGGGUACUUCAAUUUGUAAAU